rnacentral:misc_RNA from 1 species
UAUGCAACCUUUCACGGCACUUGCAGACCACCAAGAUCUCUUGGUCGUUCCUUGAGCCCGAUUAAAAGUAAGUCCCUGACUAUUAUCAGAUCAUCAAGGAUUGCAUGGUCUUUGGUUGAGACCUGGAUUGCAGAGAGAUGUUAUCAAUGACUUGUGAAGUUUAUUACCAACAUCGUCAAGAUUACCCAUUAAAUUGAUAGUGGAGUUCAACAUGCAGACGGGCCGGCCAGUUUGCAUGUCCUUCACGCUUGAAGGUCGCGGAGAACAUUACACCCAUCCCCAUCAACGACAACCUACAGAAGGAAAGGCUAGUUUGCAUUUCCUUCACUUUCGAAGGUCAUGGAGAUCAUUACGUAAAACUGUCAAUGCGGUGGUGUAGAGGUUGGGUGAGGACGACACGUGUAACAUCAUUAUCAAGUAGGCGAGAGAAAAAUUGAUAAGGAUCAGUCGAACGAGUAUCUCCGACACGGUAACAACUUCAGCGCACUAUUGGUCACCAGCUGCAUUCUUCAUCGUAUCAUCAGUUCGCAAUCAUAAUAAACUAUGGCGUAGUUCUGCUGUUGGGUGUUGAAUCGCUGACGGUUGGGUCGACCACUUGUGUACCGAUGUCUCCUGGUCCUGUUUAUGGUGGAUAUCAAAGCACAACAUUACUGUCUUAAUACUCAUCAUCAACCAAUGCUGCUCCAGCUUACACCACCAAGGCUCCAAUAUAUUACACCAAUAAGGCUUCA